rnacentral:lncRNA from 1 species
UCCCUAGUGUUUUUUGUUCACUUUUGGUUUGUGUUGUUAUAAAUAAACUAUUAAGCAUAAAAAGAGUUGCAAAACACCUUUAACAGUAGUUAGCCCUUUUUCUUGCCCUUUACUUAUUUGUUUAUAUCAAUAAAAUGAUGAAAGGAAAUAAAGUCAUUCUUCCACAAUGUGUGUCUAAUAACUGUAGCCAAUACAAAUUUGAUCUGUCAAAAAUCUUGUUGUGUUUUCUUGAUAUAUCAGUUCAUGGCACAGCUAGAAAGAAAGGCGGAGUUGUCAUUUGUUAGCAGAACAGCUGGCGUAACAGACUGGAAGUUGUGUUCUCCAGGAAUUAAUUUUUUACCAAGGUGGAGGUACAAGCAAGGGACAGUUUGUCAUCCCAGGGAGGAUGUGUCAUCUCUGCAGACACCUCCAGGGAGAGGAAAACCUGGGAGAUGCAAACAAGAGGAAUCCUUACAUCAGUGCCAAGCCAAGGAGAAAGUGGGUAUCCAUGAAGAAACCAAGAAGCUCCUAGUGACCAGAAAGUGAAUACUGAGGAAUACUUUUCUCAACUAGAGCAAAGAGAACAUUAGGAUGACAUGGGGACCAUACCAGUACUCCAGCGGUUGGAACUAAAACCCUGAACCUUUUGAAAUUAGUGGGGAUUUUAUCACUGACUCUGCUUGUGCCAGUUUUACAACCCAAGAGCAGGCCUGGUUGCUCAUGAAGAGGUUUCUUAGCAGCAAGAGCUACUGGGGGAGACAUCUUCCCCAUGAGGGACCAUGAGCAGCUUGUCAGGAAAUACCAGAAGAAGGAACAGACAGACAGUGGUGUCUGCAUGCUCUGGGGCUGCCAAAGAGAAAAAGGGCACCACGAGGUAACCUGUUGGGCUGCUUUUUUCCCCUUACUGCACUGUGCUGCCCUGGGCUCAGCCCAGUGGAGUAUAGCACAGUCCUGUUUGCUGGCAAGUAUUCAGACUCUCGAAAAUGCAGCUAACAUUUGAAGCAUUGGUAAAAUGCCUAGUAGUGGCAGAGAUGGAAUGUAAUUUUUUAAAUUGUCGCAGAGUUGUCAGAGUUGUAGCAGGAAUUUGGUCACUAUCUCAGAGCAUAAUUUAGAUUGCUUAACUUCGCUGCAGUGCAAGCGUGAAAUUCCAAAGUGCCAACAUGAAAGGUGCUUCUGGGAUGAUACAGGAUAUCACUGAUGAAGACUGAAAUCCUGACCUUGAAGUCAAUAGGAGUUUUGUCAUUGAUGUCACUAAUUCUGGGAUUUCAAUCCAAAAGGUGUUGUGAUUGCCCAUGUAGAGAGAAAGUGGAAAUGUACACGUGGAAAUGUCACCCUAGAUGAGACAGGAAAGUGCAGGAAAAAAAGUGUUUUAAGAUUGCUUUUACUGCUUAUUUUUCUUGAUUAACUUUUUACUCCAUCUAUAUUUCCCUAUUUUGAGGUCUGUGUUUUCAUAUUUCCUCCUUUUAUUGCUUUUGAUAACCUUUUCUUCUGACUCCCAUUGUGUGUAAAUGGGAGCAAUACUAUUUAAUUGCCAAUUUGAUAUUUC